AUGCAGAGUCUUUCCAGCAGAUGGCAGUAUAUUAUGCACACUCUCCAGCAGAUGGCAGUAUAUUAUGCACAAUCUCUCCAGCAGAUGGCAGUAUAACAUGCAGAGCCGCCAGCAGAUGGCAGUAUAUUAUGCACAGUCUCUCCAGCAGAUGGCAGUAUAACAUGCAGAGCCGCCAGCAGAUGGCAGUAUAACAUGCAGAGUCUCUCCAGCAGAUGGCAGUAUAUUAUGCAGAGUCUCUCCAGCAGAUGGCAGUAUAUUAUGCACAGUCUCUCCAGCAGAUGGCAGUAUAACAUGCAGAGUCUCUCCAGCAGAUGGCAGUAUAUUAUGCACAGUCUCUCCAGCAGGUGGCAGUAUAUUAUGCACAGUCUCUCCAGCAUGUGGCAGUAUGUAUAUUAUGCACAGUCUCCAGCAGAUGGCAGUAUAUUAUGCACAGUCUCUCCAGCAGAUGGCAGUAUAACAUGCAGAGUCUCUCCAGCAGAUGGCAGUAUAUUAUGCACAGUCUCUCCAGCAGAUGGCAGUAUAACAUGCAGAGUCUCUCCAGCAGAUGGCAGUAUAACAUGCAGAGUCUCUCCAGCAGAUGGCAGUAUAUUAUGCACAGUCUCUCCAGCAGAUGGCAGUAUAAUAUGCAGAGUCUCUCCAGCAGAUGGCAGUAUAUUAUGCACAGUCUCUCCAGCAGAUGGCAGUAUAACAUGCAGGGUCUCCAGCAGAUGGCAGUAUAACAUGCAGGGUCUCCAGCAGAUGGCAGUAUAUUAU